AGUUACUGUAGAAGUGUACCAAACAACAAGUAUUACAAUUCCUGUCUGCGGAGCAUGUGGUAAGGGGUGCUCCCACAAUGCACUACUUUUGGUCAGUAGGCUACUCGUUCCGCGGUGGAGGGUUAUGUAUAGAUUAUCUGUGUGAAUCUGUGCGUGUUUUGCGUACCGUGGGGUCCGACAGGUGGAUGAGUGUUCUGAACGAUCUGGUAGUGCGCAUGGUGAGGUCUCAAUGCCUGUAUCACCACUUUCACUGCACCACCACCACCACCACCACCACCACCACCACCACCUCACGUGCCGGCAUGCCCUGAGCCAUCCUUGCUUCAUGCUGUCUGAAGAUGGCUGGCAUGUGUUGGUGGAGAGUGAAGGAAACCCAGACGAACAGAAGUCCUAAGUCGGAGCAGGUUGACCGAUUCCACGAGAGUCUGAUCCGGAUGAAUGCUUGCAUGGAGCAAUGGAAGACAAAAUCUGCAGUAGACGGGCCAGGAUGGCGUUUCACGCACCAGAAAAUUCCAGCGUGUUUCAGCAGCUACAGUGACAGGCAGGACAGUGUGUAGCGCUCACCGACCACGAGCAGCUAAAAAAGGCCAGCAACACAUGCAUAUGCUGAUUGUGUAUUACGACAUUUUUAUGUAAUUGUGUCCAAAAUCACGCUUCCAGUAUUUUUUAUUACAAAUACUGAAAAGUCCUGGUGGACACUGGAUGGCACAGGUGUGGCCGCGCCCUGUAUGCAGCGUGCAUCCCAGCACGUCCUUCAGUGGAGGUGCUUUCUUCGUUCCCCUGGCUACAUUAUUUAAUGGUGAGCUAAUCUACUGCUUAUGUAACGAGGUUCUUAGAGUGGAGCAAUGUUAAUAAGAAAAAUGAACUACCGAAAGAUAAAUGCUGCUGCCAACGUCCGAGGUAUUUAAUAAAGAAUAAAGAAACGUGGCUUCAUGUUGA